rnacentral:rRNA from 1 species
UACGGGGGGGUGCGAGCGUUUGUCCGGAAUUACUGGGCGUAAAGGGCGCGUAGGCGGCAAGGCAAGUCAGGUGUGAAAGCCCCGAGCUUAACUCGGGAAUUGCAUCUGAAACUGCUGUGCUUGAGUUCUGGAGGGGGUAGUGGAAUUCCCAGUGUAGCGGUGAAAUGCGUAGAUAUUCGCAGAACACCAGUGGCGAAGGCGGCUCACUGGCCCGAUACUGACGCUGAGGCACGAAAGCGUGGGGAGCAAACAGG